CGGCAACAGCUCAAAUUUGAAAUCUGGCUUCGGCCCGAAUUGUAAUUUGUAGAGGAUGCUUUUGGUGCGGUGCCUUCUGAGUUCCCUGGAACGGGACGCCACAGAGGGUGAGAGCCCCG
rnacentral:rRNA from 1 species